CAUGUGUAUCACUUAAAUUUUAAAACAAUUGGGUUGGGCUAUGGCCCAUUAUGUUGUUUCAUUUAAAACACUUAGCCCAAAACCCAUUUAAUUAAAUUUCUUAAUUAUAAUAUAAUGCCCCACAUUAUAUAAAAGGGAGGAGAGUAAAAUGGGAUUUCAACUUUUGGGAUCCCAUUCUCCUUCUCCUCUUUUGGCUCUCUCUCUCCACUUCUUUAUCUUUCUUCUUCUCUUUUCUUCACACCAGUGUUGAACUCUAAUUCCUGCACAAGGAAAAAAAAAAGUUAGAAGUUGCACUAUUGAAGGAAAGAGAAGGGCUAUUAGAUAGUCAAUUGAAACUUAUGAAGUUUCGAAAGCUCCGUAAACUGCACAGGCUGCACACUUGGGAUUCAAAACUUAGAUUGUUGGUCUGAGAAAGAACCAUUAUAUGGAGGAGGAGCUUCGCUUGUGACUCUUUGUUGGAAAAGUCUUGUUUCCAACAAGAAGAUGGGUUGAUCGGUUUCAACCAAAGAGAAGUGAAGAAGAAGGUGGGUAGUGAGGGAAGGUUUCGGCCAAGCUGCAGGUUUUGGCCAAGGAAGGAGAAAGUGGUGGCAGCGGCUGGUUCUAGUUUGGAUUAGCGGAAGAAGAGCAAAAGAAGGGAUAGAGAUGAAUUUUGGCCAAGGGAAAAGAAGAGGAAAAAGAAAGGGGGAUGUUUGCUGGUUCGGUAAAGGAGAAGAAGAAGAAGAGGAGUGGAGAAGGUUCAGCCAUGGAGAAGAAGGGUUGAGGGAAAGAGAAGAUGAGAGUAGUUUCAGUUAAGGGAGGAGAGUGGCGGCUGGUUUUAGGGAGAAGGAGAUACGAAUGGGAUUAAUGUUAGGGUUAGAGAUGGAUUGGGGAUCCUAAUCUAAUGGACCACAUUUGGAAAGAAAAAAAAUUAUCAAUUGAAAAAAAAAAAAAAACAAAAAAACACACUACUAAACCAAAUUAAAUUGAAU